GACGAACGCUGGCGGCGUGCCUAACACAUGCAAGUCGAACGGAGAAAUUCAGCAAUGGAUUUCUUAGUGGCGAACGGGUGAGUAACGCGUAGACAACCUGCCUCUAAGUUGGGGACAACACUGCGAAAGUGGUGCUAAUACCGAAUGUUCAUUAUCGGGUGCAUGCCAGGUAAAGCAAAGGUGGCCUCUAUUUAUAAGGUACCGUUUGGAGAUGGGUCUGCGUCUGAUUAUCUAGUUGGUGGGGUAAUGGCUCACCAAGGCGACGAUCAGUAGCCGGUCUGAGAGGAUGACCGGCCACACUGGGACUGAGACACGGCCCAGACUCCUACGGGAGGCAGCAGUGGGGAAUCUUCCACAAUGGACGAAAGUCUGACGGAGCAACGCCGCGUGAGUGAAGAAGGUUUUCGGAUUGUAAAGCUCUGUCUUUUGGGACGAAUGUGCUCUAUGUAAAUAAUGUGGAGCAAUGACGGUACCGAAGGAGGAAGCCACGGCUAACUACGUGCCAGCAGCCGCGGUAA
rnacentral:rRNA from 1 species